AAAGGGGAGGGAAAGGAACGUGAUGGCGAUGGACGAAGAAGAAGAAGAAGUCGAAGAAGAAGGUCCGUUUGAUUUCGAAUGUAUGUAAUGCAUGAAGUCAAAGAAAAAAAAAAAAAAAGAAAAACAAGAAAAAAAAAAAGAAAGAAAGAAAUAGAGAGAAGAUCGUCAGGAAGGAUUAUUUUCUUCAUGAUUUCUGAUCCGUUGCCAAACGGCGUUAAUGGAACAAGACCGGCAGCCGUCCGGUUUCAGUGCCGCUAUUGCGCGCGCGCUUGGAAUAACCCUUCAAAAUACUUUGGCGUAAAUUUAUCAGUGACGUCCGCCAAGUUGAAAAAUAUACCUACCUUCUCGUCUCUGCCAUUUCUCGCUACUGCUUUUGCUACCAAGAUCAACGUUAUAAUACUGGAUUCGUCCAAAUUCAAUGGGAGAAAAAAAAAAAUAAUAAUAAUAAUAAUAAUAAUAAUAAUGACAAGAAAAAGGGGGUAGAAAAAAAAGAAAAAGAAGUAGAAGAUAUUUUUGUUACACCAAUCACAUUUUAAAUCUUCAAACAACAGGAUAAAUCACUUAAGUUAUUUAUUAACUUAUUAAUUUUAAUGGGAAUAUAAAUGGAAAGAAAGAAGAUUAAUAUACGAAUAUACACUUAUAUAAUUAUGUAACACAUAUUAAACAUAAUAAUACGGAUAAAUGUUGUAAGCGAUAGAACGAAAUGAACAUUAUAAUAAUUGAGAUUAUAUAAAUGCAUAUAUAUAUAUAUAUAUAUUUUUCUGUGCUUGUAUGUACAGGUGGAAACAGAUUGAUUACGCAACGGUUAAUUCAUAGCUCAAACAGAUUUAUUAAACACACGAACGCACAUUUUCAAAUGAUAACUCACGUUCAGAAUGACUGGGGCAGCUUAACAAAACUCAAAUAAUAUCGUAGUUAUCACAUUAUAUGCGAAGAACAAGAGGUAUUACAUUAUUCAUUAAUUACAUGAUGAAAAAGAUAUAUAAUCAAUAAUACGAUACAAUAUUAAAACAAAACAAUUUUUUAAUAUAAUCAAUAUGAAUACAGCUCUUUGAGAUAAAAAAGAAGAGAGAGAGAGAGGAAGAAAGAAAAGAGAGAGAGAGAGAGAGAGAGAAAAUAAUAUAUUAUUAUGAAGGUAUAAUUAAGAUCAUUAAUCGUUGCGAUCUCAAGUCGUCGCGAUGUUGCACCAGAACAACCCAUGAACCCUUAACAGAGAAAAGAGAAAAAUAAAAGGAAAAGAAAAAAAAAAGAAGGGAAAAAAGAAAAGAAAUAAAUAGGAAGAAGAGAUAAAAGGGUGAGAGUGAGAAAGGGGGAGGAUAAUGGCGACGAGGUCGAAGAGGGUGAAUAUUCUUUUCAGGCAGCUUAACAUCCAGCACACCACUUCGCAUAUUUAAAAUGCAAAUCCGUACGCCAAUAAAUCUCUCGUACAUGGUUCGAGCGGUUUGUGCGAGGGAGAGAAUCCCUCUUCUUCUUCUUCUUCUUCUUCGUCUUCUUCUUAUACUUAUUCUUAUUCUUAUUCUUCUUUGGAUCCUCUUUCGGAUCCUUUAUUUCUCGAGAGCGUCCUCCUCAUCUCCAAGAGACGUCAGGAUUCCUUCUCUCGCCGUGACCAUUAUUAACCCGCAGUUAAUUGAAUCGCCACGGCCUCAUGCUCGAGAAAUUUUUAAACGAGACUCCUCCGUAAUUCUUCAAAAAGAAAGAAAAAAAGAGAAAGAGAGAGAGAGAGAGAGAGAGAGAGAGAGGCGGGAGAUGACGAAACAAUCGGAUGACAAAAUUGAAAACAAAAAAGUAAAUUUAUUUAGAUAAAGAGAGAGAGAGAGAGAAUGAGAUAGACUGGAGUCUCUCAAAAAGUGACUCCUUUCGUUAUAGUGUUCACAUCUCUUCAGAAAAUUAUAUUUAAUCCUGUAUUUAUGUACUCACAUAAUUUAGCUUUUUCAAGAAGCAAAACUCGAGAUUGUGAACGUUUUAUUAUUCGCAUAUAUCUGUCGACAUAUGUAUUAUAUAUUUAUAUAGAAAAGAAAAAGAAAAAAGAAAAACGCAUCUCAACGAACGCGUUUCCGAUUCUCCCGUCGUUGGAAUGUUAAAUCGAAGACGUAGUUACGCAACACAUCCGAAUUCUUUUCGAGCAAGGUCACAGAUCUAGAAUGUGGAGGAAGAGUGAGGGCCUUUUUGGCUUCUACGUGGAAUAUCUUUGAAACGAAAGGAAAAAAAAAAAAGAAAGAAAGAAAGAAAGAGAAAAAAAAUACGAGAGAAUGUAAACGUGAAUGGUUCGGAAAGAAAAGACCAAAAAGAAAAAAAAGAUAAAAAAAAAUUGAUCCAAUCGAUGAGGAAUCGAAUGAAUUCCAUCGAUCCCCAUUUAAAAGUAAUACCAAACAAACGUAGUCUCUCUCUCUCUCUCUCUCUCUCUCUCUCUCUCUCUCUCUCUCUCUCUCUCUCUCUCUCUCUCUCUCUCUAUCUCAUCUGUUAAGAAAAAGAGAUGAAUGAGAAGGGAGAGAGAAAAAAUUAAAAGGAAGAAAAGAAAAGAAAAGGAUAGGUCUUACUGAAUAGCCAAAGGAUGAUAAACAUUAAUAGAACGUAUAGAUAACUUUAAGGAGAAACAUCAACGAUCAAAAGAGAUGAACAAAAAUAAAAAUCAAGAAGCAGCGAGAGAGAAAGAGAAAGAGAGAGAGAGAGAGAGAGAGAAAAAGAGAGAGAGAUAACAAGGUGAGGAAUAAGGAGGAGAUAAUAAAAGGAUAAAAGUAGUGGGAUAAGAAGACAGGGAAGAGAUGUAUCUCGCAGAGAAGUAUACUACAAGGCGUGUCUUGGUUGGGUAGUAUAUGUUGGCUACUCAACUCAAAGUAAAGGCGAUUACGUCAAAUCAAGACUCCAUACGAGAGGAUUUUUAACCCUAACGCCCUUUUCUCUUCUUCUUCUUCUUCUUCAUCUUCUUCUUCUUCUUCUUCUUCUUCUUCUUCUUCUACUUUCCGAAGUAUACAGAUGAUACAACUUUUACAUACAUACAUUGUAACUACUGUUGAGAUCCCAUUGAAAUUUACAUACAUAGGAUGCAAGAAGAAACGAUCUUGAGACCUGGCUAAAGGUCUCUGGCUACUAUAUAUUGAGAUACUUUAACCUGUCCGUAUCCUUAAUACGAGAUGUAUAUGGCCAUCGUUCGUCGACCAAAGCGAAGGAUUAUAAAAAGUAAGAAAGACGACGAAGACGCGAUAACAAAUCAUCAUUUCCAUCCGUUGUAACGUAGAUAUCGUACGUGAUAGCGAUGAAAAAUGACGACGACCGAUGAGAUAAUUAAUGAAUUAAUUGAGAUAAAAAUGAGUAAUCAGAUUUUGAUUAAUGUUACGAUAACAUUAAUGGGACGAGAAGUAUCUGUAAUCUUAAGAACGAUCGUCUCUCUUAAACAGGAGUGAAAUAACAAAAUAUAUAUCUCUGAUGAUUAACUAUUUAUUUCAGCGAGACACUUAAAUUACAUCUAUUUUCUUCGAGAAUAAUAAUAAUAAUGAUGAUGAUGAUGAUGAUGAUGAUAAUGAUAACAACAGUGAUAAUAAAAAUAAUAAUAAUGAUAAUAAUAAUAAGGAUAAGGAAAUCGCCUUUGGUAUUACCUACAAAUAAACAAAUAAACAAGUUAACAAACAAACAAACAAACUAGAAUUCGCGCGUUAUUGUACGUUGUUAAAGAAAUUACAUAUUGGAGUAUCUGAUUUCUUAAAAUCUUGAGCUACAUAAAAGUGGUAAGCAAGAGUAAACAAAAAAGGAUAUAUAAAAGAAGGAUGUAAUAAAGUUACUGAAUAAAGGAUAUUAUCGUACAUAUAUCGAUUGAAAUACAAGGAAGGAUCGAAGAUAUAACCCCUUUCUCUGAUGUUAGAGAGAAGAAGCCCGAAGAAUGGGGAAAAAAGAAGAAUUCUUAAAACGGUGAAUCUACUGGUCUAUCUACUUCCCAUUACUUGAGUCGUCCUGACCGCGUCACCUCCUUCUAGAGAACCACAAAGUCAUCCCAGCCCAGUUGUAUUCCAAGUUUCAUCUUGACACUUCUCCCUCUUUAUACCAUGGAGGAUUUAUCUUCACGCCAUUAUUGAUAACGAUUAUAACGUGCCUCUUUAUAGAACGAUAGGAAUUAUUUGCAAAGACAACAAAGGUGGCAUAUAUGUACAUACAUACAUAUGUCAAUAUUUUAAAUAUAUUAUAUACAGGAUAUUUCUUGUUAUAUAUAUAUAUAUAUAUAUAUGUGUGUGUACAUCCGAUGUGUAUGUACAUCCGAUGGAAAUGAAGAUAACUCAAAUGUCACCGUUGUAAACUGUUAUACGUCUAACGUUCAUGAAGAUCCGUUACACUUGACUCCACUUUUCAUUGGCUUCCUAUCCUUAUUCUUCUUCUACAUACAUAGAACGAAUUUAACUCGGACGACAGGCAGGUGACGAGUCAAAUUACGGAAGUCAUUGAAGCACUGUGGUUAUGAACGUACAAGUUAUACGUCUCUUGAAAGAGAAAGAGGCAAAGAGAGAGAGAGAGAGAGAGAGAGAGAGAGAGAGAGAGAGAAAGAGAGAAAGGGAAGAAAUGGAAGACGUGCCACAACCACAUCCGUCGUUACAGCCGGCUUUACAUUUUCUUUGGAAUACACGAGAUUUCUUUUGAUAUUCACCCUUUUCCUUAUUCACUCAUCUUCAUGAAGAAAAACAAAAUACCGAUUUUAUCCUCGUUAUGGAUAUGUCCUACUAUAAUAAUAAUAAUAGUAAUAGUAAAAUUAAAUUUUUUGAAGAUUUGAAGAAAACAAAAUUGAUGGACUUAUGUAAGUUAUCAAUUGUUUUUAUUACAAUGUAAAAUACUCUAUAUCAAAUAUCAUUGAAUGAUCUUUACUUUUAUUAAGAAUAAUGUUGUUUCAAAUAAAUUCAAGAGAUUCAAAGGCUCGUACAAAAUUAAUUAUAAUAAUCAAUAUUUUUAUAUAAAGAAAUGAUAAUCUGAAAAGAUCUACUAUAAAUAAC